GGCUGGAUCUAGGCAGCACAUAUACUAAAAUUGGAACGAUACAGAGAAGAUUAGCAUGGCCCCUGUGCAAGGAUGAUAUGCAAAUUCGUGAAGCGUUCCAUAUUUUU
ensembl:snRNA U6 U6 spliceosomal RNA